UUGAAAGUCACAGAUGACCAUUGCAUAGAGGUGGAUGAGGAUGUCUUUCCAGAACUUGCAACAACCAAAGAAAUGUGUUUUAUCAUCCACACUGAUGAUGAACUUCCAUUUGCUGAAACAUCCAAGAAUUCUGCUGACUUCUCAGACCUGACAGAGUUUGGUGCCUCUUCAAAUCAGACAGAAUAUGUUACGCUCACUACAUGUGAUUUGACUGUCCUGCAGCAAGGGGUUGUUAAAGGGC